rnacentral:rRNA from 1 species
AUGCAUGAUCAGGGCGGCCUGGACCAGGAUGGCUUCCCGCUCGACCAUGAGUUUCCGGAGGACUACAGACUCGAGGAAGAGGAUGAGUCAGACAUCGAAGGGGAGCCUUUGUUCGAGGACAAGCUCGCUAGCCGAGCCGCCGGGGAGGGGGAGCCGAAGCGCAAGAACAGGCGGACGAAGGCAUACACGACAGCUGAGGACAAGCUCCUUUGUGAGUGUUGGAGGGACAUUGGGCAAGACACCCAAACCGGCGCCGGACAAAAGGCAUCAACCUUUUGGACUCGUGUCCAUCAUGAGUUCCAUGAGCACCAGAAGUUUCCGCCGUACCAAAUGCAAAGCACGCGCGGGUGGAUGUCCAUUUCGAAGCAUUGGAAGGUAAUCCAACAAGAGUGCAACAAGUUUUGUGCCACUCUUGAUAGUAUCAAGGCACGCCCCGUGAGCGGCAUCGGCAUGCAAGACAUGGUAUGCUAG